UUUUUUUUUUUUUUUUUUUUUUUUUUUUUUGGAUUUUCAGAAAGAACAAAAAGUCCUUCUCAGUUUUCCAUCUCCCCAGUUUGCCUUUUUAUUCUUGUGAAUAAAUGUUCUUUAGUGUUUUAGGAGGAAAAAGCAAACCUAGAUUUUGAUAAUCCAGAAGAUUUCAGAUUAAUAAAGAAGCUUUGAAAGAAGACCAUUUUUCAAAAUUUUAGUGAAGUGUGAAUAUUUUUUGUCAAUGGCUUUCUCAAAGAGAAUGAAACUUUUGCACCAUUUUCAGAGUUUUUAUAGAGAUGCCAAAUUGAUAUAUUUACAUGUAAUGGAAACAUGAAAAAGUUUUAUUAAACAAUUGUUCAUAGCUGUGUAGACAUUUUAAUUCAGUUUCCAAAGCUCUCAAAGUGUAUUUUUGGAGUACGGAGUGGUAAUGGUUUGGGGUGUCACAAUUCCAAACGACUCGAUUGUCCAAAUACUUAGUUCUUUUCACAGGUAUCAGGUUUGUGUUAAACACUGUAUGUUAACUAUGACUGGAAUUCUGUGAUAUUUUGGUAAUAAAUGAAGUGGGAUCGUUGAGAUGUGGUGGUGUAGGGGUGAUGGUGUGUAACUCUUAAGCAGCCAUUGCUGAGUGAAGCACCAGCCAGGGCUGCAGCGACUGCCUCCUUCCUAGGUAAGCGUGGGCUGCCCCUCGCCAAGCUCUGUGCCAGGCCAUGGCCUUGACCCACACCGAGGGAAGGGAGACAGCCCAGCCCAGGGAUGGAAGGAAGGCACCAGGACACGCUCUGUGAGCCCUCCCCAAUGGCCCUCUGCCUCUGCCCAGAUGCUGCCCUCCCUGCCACCCAUGGAGACCCAGAGGCCCCUCUUCUCCAAGUUCAAAGGUUCAUGGGCCUCCUCUCUUGUCCCUGAGUGUAGGUCUGCUUCCCACACCUGAGCUCCUGGCCAUUCUGAAUAUAGAAGACACUAAUCUCCUUGGGUGAGGGAAAGUGAGUUCCAACUUGCCCAGAGGCAGGAUAGGGCACAAGGGUCUUGGCUCAGAGUCUUGGGUUUGAAUCCCGGCCCCAUCCCCUCCCCAGUGUAGUCAGUGUAGAUAAGCCCCUAACUUUCUCCAAGCCUCAGUUGUCCCCCCUCUGGGAAAUGGGCUUCAUAACACCCACCCCCUAGGAUCCUUGUGAAAAGGAAAACAGAUCAUGUAGGUAUUGCACUUAGCACAGUGGCUCUGAAUCCAGUGAGUGAGGCUGAGCUUGACAAAAAAACAGCAUCCCCCUGGCUCCCCUACACACAGUGGGUGCAGCUGAAGCCCAUGGACAUGCUUCUCCAGUAGGCAUGUGUGGCCUCUUCUGAAGUCACUGGGUUUUCUUUCUUGUGUGUAUGUGUCUUGGGUUUCUGCAUUGAUCUCAGAAUAUUCCUGAUAGUGGGGCAGGCUGGCACCCUCUGGGGAAGGUGUCCCCUGGGGGCUCAGACCUGCAACAGGGGCUCCUGGAGCCUCUAGGCAGCUCCUCAGGCACCAUCUACACCUGCGCACAGAGGAAGAGGAGGUCUGGUUGUCAGCCCUUCCCUGCCUCCCUCUCCCCCAGGGACCUCAUUAAAAAGCAGAUUCUGGAGUUCCCACUGUGGCUCAACAGGAUCCGUGGCGUUUUGGGAGCACUGGGUCACAGGUUUGAUCCCUGGCCCAGCACAGUGGGUUAAGGAUUUGGCAUUGCCACAGCGGUAGCUUAAGUUAAAACUACAUCUCGGAUCUGAUCCCUGGCCCAGAAAGGCCAUAUGCCACGGGGCGGCCAAAGACUGAAGGGAAAAAAAAAAAAGCAAAUUCUGCUUCAGCUGCUUUGGCCCCCAUCCAAGAGUUUGCAUUUCUGUCCAACCCCCAGGUGGUGCCAGUGCUCCAGGGAUCCACUCUGAGAGGCAAGAGGUGUAAGAGAGCCCUGGAAGUAGGGGUAUGCCACCCCAGCUCCAGGCCUGGUGCCCUGGACAGCUUCAAAGCCCACCCCCAACCCCAGAAUUCAGAGCUGAGAGCCUGAGCCUGUGUGGGGAGCUCUUGCCACCAGACUGCCCCAGCAGGGGCUAUUUUCAUCAUUCCGUUCAAGGCCUAAUGCCUGUAUCCUUUUGUCUUUGGGCUUUGGUUGGUUGGUUUGACCUCAAUUCAUCUCUAGCACAAUUGGAAAGGAUUUCUGGAAGAGAAGGGAGAAAAUCCCAGACAUCGGCGUUGUCGUGGAGAACCGUGGUUUCUGUUUAUGGUAGGAAGGACUGGGUUGUGCAGUGAGAGGUUUUUUACUGUGGAGGUGGGGGCAGUGCAGUGAGUUGGCCCCUUAUCCUCUUUCCUUUCCUGACAGGUGGCAGCUCUGGGCUCUAGGAAGCCACACAGACGUCCCGCAGCAAAAUUAAAGCUGGCCAGGGAGCAAUUCUCCCCAGUCAUGCCUUGCUUUGCCCACCUUGCCAUGAGAUUAUUUUAUCCCACCUGAGGGUUCAAAAGAACAGAGCAAAGACCCCCAUCCCAGGUGUGGAUGUGGGGCCCUCUGGGGUGUGACGUCAGAGCAGGAGUUAGCUGAACAGGAGGAUGUUCCAAGAAGCUGGGAAGUGGUGGUGGGAAAUGAUAGCUAUUAGCUGUUGGUCAUGCUGCCCACCUCACAGAGUACCUCCCUGAAGUUGAGGAAGGCCUUACUGUUGUCAUUGUCUGAGCACCCAUUUAUAGGUGAUGCGCUGAAGCCUAGCCAACUGGAAAACAGACACCAUUACACCAUUCGGUGCUGGUGAUUUUUUCUUUUCCCUCACCAGUUAGACAUAGAGCAUCCUGGGUUUGGACUGCCCCUUAGUUCUGUGGCUCCGAACUGUCCAUUGGGGGUUUCAGCCAGGGAUGGGCAGUCGGGUUUGGAGGGGGCAUGACGCCUCCUUAGGCAGGACGUCCUACAGGGGUGGGCAGGGGCUCAGGUGCCCGUGGGCACAUGCUGGGGGCCUGGACCCAAGCCCAAGCUCUCCAGGGAGUGUCCUGGUCACCCCAGAGCAUGUGAGGGAGAGAAUUUCUCUCAAGCCCUUGCAUCACAAGCACACAGUUCUUCCCCACCCAGACCUCUGGGGACAGUGUCCUCGGAGAGCCUAGGGCCUCACCUAACCUCUGCCAACCUGGGACAGAAUUUUAGGGACCCUGGUCCAGAAAGCAGCAAAAAUUUGAAGAUGGCAAUCACAGAGCAUUAAACAGAGCUUGAGGCCUUCUGAGUGUGGGGUCCUGUGUGACUGCCCCAGUCCCAUGCCCACAGCCAGCCCCCCAUCUCUGUUCAGGAGCUUUCUGGUUGUCUUUGGGCUUCUUGUAGAGUACAGAAUCUCGAAAUCCACCUUCCCCUUCGUUCCAAGGGCUGCCUUCUGUCUGACUGGUUUUUCUCAAAGAUGAAGGAUUUUUUUUUUUUUUUUUUUUUAGGGCUACAGCUGUGGCAUAUGGAAGUUCCCAGGCUAGGGGUCAAAUCAGAGGCGCAGCUACCGACCUAUGCCACAGCCACAGCAACUCCAGAUCCAAGACUCGUGCAUGGUAGCUCAAGCAACAUGGGAUCCUUAACCCAUUGAGUGAGGUCAGGGAUCGAACCCGAAUCCUCAUGGAUACUAAUUGGGUUCAUUACCACUGAGCCUCAAAGGGAACUCCAAAGUCGAAGGAUUUAAUGCAGGGCUGGAAGAGGCCGGGUGUGGCAGCUUCUGGGCCUUGGGAUGUGAGAGUCUGGGUCCCAGAGGAAACUGCAGCUCAGAGAGGCACUGGAUGUCAGGGAGAAGGGCCCCGGCUUGGGACAGGUCACUGAAGGGUCCUUUCUGGUUGGAGGGACCUAGGAUAGGAGGUGGGGUGGGUAUAGGGACAGGCGCUUGGCAGGGGAGCCCAUUUGGUGGCAUAGGCACGAAUACGCCCUUUUGUCUGUCAAGUGAAGCCUCAUGGAGAAGUCUGGUGUGUCAGUGGUGUAAACUACCAGCCCUUCCACACCAAACAUCCAGCCGCGGGGGAGUGCCAGGGGGCAGGGCAGAGCUGGGUCUCAGAAACAGUCUGUGCAGGGACUGGAGCUCCAGGACCACCAGCCCCUCAGGAGAGACUCUGGAAUCCAGGGGCGGCUCUAAAACUAAAGCUGGUGGUGGCUCAGUGGGUUAAGGACCCAGUGUUAUCACUGCAGUGGCUCGGGUCACUGCUGCGGCAUGGGUUAAAUCCCUGGCCCAGGAACUUAGGCAUGCCGUGGGCAUGGCCAGAAAAAAGAAAAAAA
rnacentral:lncRNA from 1 species